rnacentral:sRNA from 1 species
GCCGGGUGUGGUGGUGCACACCUGUAAUUCUAGCAGCUCAGGAGGCUGAGGCAGGGGGAUCGAGAAUUCAAAGCCAGCCUCAGCAACUUAGUGAGGCCCUAAGCAACUCAGUAAGACUCUGUCUCUA